GGUCUCGUGGCCCAAUGGCAAGGCGUCUGACUACGAAUCAGGAGAUUCUGGGUUCGACCCCCAGCGAGAUCA
rnacentral:tRNA from 1 species